AGAGUUUGAUCCUGGCUCAGCCUGAACGCUGGCGGCGUGGCUAAGACAUGCAAGUCGUACGGGUGUAGCAAUACACCAGUGGCGGACGGGUGAGUAAUGUAUCGCUAACGUGCCUGGAAUCUGGGAUAGCCAGCCGAAAGGCUGGGUAAUACCAGAUAAAGUAUCCUGAUCGCAUGGUCGGGAUCCCAAAGGAGUAAUCC
rnacentral:rRNA from 1 species